rnacentral:sRNA from 1 species
GCUGGGCAUGGUGGUGCACACCUGUAAUCCCCGCAACUCAGGAGGCUGAGACGGGAGGAUCAUGAGUUCAAAGCCAGCCUCGGCAAAAGUGACGUGCUAAACUACUCAGUGAGACCCUGUCUCUA